rnacentral:rRNA from 1 species
UACGUAGGGUGCAAGCGUUAAUCGGAAUUACUGGGCGUAAAGCGUGCGCAGGCGGUUUUGUAAGUUUGUCGUGAAAGCCCCGGGCUCAACCUGGGAAUUGCGAUGAAGACUGCAAGGCUUGAAUCUGGCAGAGGGGGGUAGAAUUCCACGUGUAGCAGUGAAAUGCGUAGAGAUGUGGAGGAACACCGAUGGCGAAGGCAACCCCCUGGGUCAAGAUUGACGCUCAUGCACGAAAGCGUGGGAGCAAACAGG